rnacentral:piRNA from 1 species
UGGGUCCUUGAGAUGUCCUGC